GUGUCAGCCGCCGCGGUAACACGUAGGGGACGAGCGUUGUCCGGAUUCAUUGGGCGUAAAGCGCGCGUAGGCGGCUCGGAGAGUCGGGCGUGAAAUGCCGGGGCUCAACCCCGGGACUGCGUCCGAUACUUCCGAGCUGGAGGUAGGUAGGGGAGAUCGGAAUUCCUGGUGUAGCGGUGAAAUGCGCAGAUAUCAGGAGGAACACCGGUGGCGAAGGCGGAUCUCUGGGCCUUACCUGACGCUGAGGCGCGAAAGCUAGGGGAGCAAACAGGAUUAGAUACCCUGGUAGUCCUAGCCGUAAACGUUGGGUGCUAGGUGUGGGCGGACAUCGACCCCGUCCGUGCCGAAGCUAACGCAUUAAGCACCCCGCCUGGGGAGUACGGCCGCAAGGCUAAA
rnacentral:rRNA from 1 species